CAGAGCUGUAUACAUCCAGGGAGAACGUCAUGUGGAGAUGAAAGCAGAGAUCAGAGUGACGCAUCUCCAAGCCAUGGAAUGCUGAAGAUGGUGAGCAACCCACCAGAAGUCAGGAGAGAGCUGAAGAAAUGGAGGUGCAACGGGCUCGAAGAACCUGGCUUCAUUUAGAGAGUGUGCCCGGGAUGAGACGUGUGGAGAGCCUGGCCUGAGCCAACACUAAGAGACUCCUGGACAGGAGGAAAUGCAUUGAACCUGAAUACCUCUACGGGAGACCUCUCAUCCCUCCUUCCACGCCAUCCCUGCUCUCAGUCUACACCUCCCAUUUUUUGAUCAAGACAGCCUUGAAGUUCUCUGUGUCUGCGGAAGGAAGGAGACGGAGCUUGUUUUUCACUUUUGCUGCCAUUAUUAAUUAUUUUUAGGAAAGCAUUGUGUCUUUUGAGAGAAGAUUGUAAGUACCGGGAGAAUAAAUGGACCUUAGAGUAAGCCGUGUAUGCUCCAGACUUCCCCAGCUUGAUGAACAGCUUCCUGACCAGUGGCUGGCAGUCCCUGGUCUUAUUGGACGGACACUGGCUGGGGGCCAAUGUCUGAGUUGAAUGGUG